GCGCCUGCUAGCUCAGUGGAUAGAGCGUCUGUUUCCUAAGCAGAAGUCGUAGGUUCGACCCCUACCUGGCGCG
rnacentral:tRNA from 1 species